rnacentral:rRNA from 1 species
UACGUAGGGUGCGAGCGUUAAUCGGAAUUACUGGGCGUAAAGCGUGCGCAGGCGGUUCGUUAAGUCAGCUGUGAAAGCCCCGGGCUCAACCUGGGAAUGGCGGUUGAAACUGGCGAACUUGAAUCUGGCAGAGGGGGGUGGAAUUCCACGUGUAGCAGUGAAAUGCGUAGAGAUGUGGAGGAACACCGAUGGCGAAGGCAGCCCCCUGGGCUGAGAUUGACGCUCAGGCACGAAAGCGUGGGGAGCAAACAGG